rnacentral:rRNA from 1 species
AUGUGUCUCCUGGACAUGGAGAGAGAGCACGGGAGGGAAGGAGGAAGGAAGAGGGAGGCGUGGCCGUGGUUGGUUCUCCGGCGGCGCUGGAUCGGUGCAUGGGCGCAGAGCUCCUGCUCGGGGCGCGAAGAUCUAGGAGGGACUCGGGUGCGAGGCUGCGGGUCUUGCUCUGAGACAUCAGCUAGAUCCGCAGGUCUUGCUCCCCAAAAUCCAUCCCUUCUCUUCUUUUGUCCAAUCUGGAUUGUUAAUUCCGUCAAGAGGUGUGAGUCAUCGUUUUACUGGAUGCUCUCUCGAUCAUUUCUUCAUAUGCAUUUUGUGGGUAGCAAAAUGUUCUCUUUGUAUGGAUUUGAAAAAGGACCAAAUCUUACAAAAUACUUCUUAAAUAGGAUGUGCGAUUUUGAUAGUAUUUUCUAUGCAUUUUGA